GAAAUGCGAUAAGUAAUGUGAAUUGCAGAAUUCAGUGAAUCAUCGAAUCUUUGAACGCACAUUGCGCCCGCCAGUAUUCUGGCGGGCAUGCCUGUUCGAGCGUCAUUUCAACCCUCAAGCCCCAGCGGCCUGGUGUUGGGGACCGGCGACCUCGCUGACGCCCUUCUUGGGCCCAGCGUCCGCCGCCCCCGAAAUGAAUUGGCGGUCUCGUCGCGGCCUCCUCUGCGUAGUAGCACAACCUCGCAACAGGAGCGCGACGCGGCCACUGCCGUAAAACGCCCAACUUUUUUAGAGUUGACCUCGGAUCAGGUAGGAAUACCCGCUGAACUUAA
rnacentral:misc_RNA from 1 species